UGUAAAUGAUGUUCCAAUGGAUCCUUCUGACCCUUCCUUUGGUAUACUCAAGGAAGUGGAUAUGAGGAGGAAGAUAUACUGAUACA